rnacentral:rRNA from 1 species
AUUGAACGCUGGCGGCAGGCCUAACACAUGCAAGUCGAACGAUUGGCGGACGGGUGAGUCAUGUCUGUGAAACUGCCUGAUGGAGGGGGUUACCUACUGGAAACGGUAGCUAAUACCGCAUACCAUCGGAUGUGCCCAGAUGGGCUUAGCUGGUUGGUGGGGUAACGGCUCACCAAGGCGACGAGCCCUAGCGGGUCUGAGAGGAUGACCAGCCACACGGGAACUGAGACACGGUCCAGACUCCUACGGGAGGCAGCAGUGGGGAAGAUUGCACAAUGGGCGCAAGCCUGAUGGAGCCAUGCCGCGUGUAUGAAGAAGGCCUUCGGGUUGUAAAGUACUUUCAGCGGGGAGGCGUUACCCGCAGAAGAAGCACCGGCUAACUCCGUGCCAGCCGCCGCGGUAAUAC